GAAUCGGAUUAGAAACCCUAGAUCUGACCAAACCCGCCUAGUGUUGGUCCUGCUUCUGAUUUCUCCGCCGUGGGCUGACCAAACCCCACACCCCCGCUCUCUCUCUGGUUGCUUGUGACUCGGCGGAGAGGGACGUCCACCGAGCGACCGUGGAGGAGAGAAGAGAACGGAGGAUGACGGUGUUCCACUUCUUCAACUGCGCCAUCCUCACCUUCGGCCCUCACGCCGUCUACUACUCCGCCACUCCACUAUCAGAGUAUGAUACUAUUGGAACUUCUGCCAAAGCUGCUGCUGUUUAUCUUGGAACAGCACUAGUGAAGCUUGUUUGCCUUGCAACCUUUCUAAAAGAAUCUGAGAAUGGCAAUUUUGAUCCAUAUCAGGAACUGCUGAAAGUAUUGAUCAAUUUUAUAGAUGUUGCUGGACUUUAUUUUGCAUUGACACAGUUGACUCACAGAAACAUCUCUCAAAAUCAUAAAUUUCAGGCUGUUGGACUAGGUUGGGCUUUUGCGGAUUCUGUUUUGCACCGGUUGGCACCUCUUUGGGUUGGAGCUAGAGGAUUGGAAUUUACAUGGGAAUACGUAUUUCAAGGCCUCGAAGCAAAUGCUAAUCUGGUAUUGAAUUUGUCCCUUGCUGCGCUAGGAUCCUUGAUGUGGCUAAGGAAGAACAAGCCCAGAAUCUUGAUUCCAAUCAUUUAUGCAUGUGCGGGGGUUCUUGCAACAAUGCCAUCUAUCACCAGGUUUUAAUCUCUCCUUGCGUUCGUACUUGUUGAAAACAUGAUCAUAGUUCGGGAAUGAAGCAACAUAGAUCAAAUUGCUAUCUAUUUGAGAAGAGCUUUGGGAUGGCAGCCUGCAAAGGCGGUGGGCUUUGAAUUAUUCUCCUCUUUGAUGAUGGCCUUCCUCAGUUGGCAGCUUUUUUCUGCUUGUCAGAGACCGGCCUAACAAGUGGAGAUUGUCGCUGGUUGAGUUAUUUGGUUCGGGAAAGGUUAUCCGCUACCUUUGAAUCUAUUUACCCAGAAAUGAAGCGAAAGAAACUUCAGUAGGCAUGCUUGCGGUGUCUAGGCCUGCUCUUUCGACAUAUCUUUUUGAUAUUACUUUAAUUCUCUGCUUCAGCUGAAUGCACCAUGGAGCAAGCGCAGCGUCCUGUACUUCCAGAUACAUUGUAGUGUAAUUCAAGAGUCGCUUUUGAUCAUGUCUUUAGCUAUGUUGAGUGGGUUAAGUAAAAUUAUUCAGGUAUUGCGACAGCAUUGUAAUUGAUUGCCUGCACCUCAGGUUAUAAAGUUUCAUUUGAUUUUGUGGUUUUAUGAAAUGUAUGGCUAUAUCAUAUCCUUGGCUCAUCCAA